GACGAACGCUGGCGGCGUGCUUAACACAUGCAAGUCGAACGGAAAGGCCCCUUUGGGGGUACUCGAGUGGCGAACGGGUGAGUAACACGUGAGUAACCUGCCCUUGACUUCGGGAUAACUUCAGGAAACUGGGGCUAAUACCGGAUAGGAAUCCUUGCUGCAUGGUGGGGGUUGGAAAGCUUCGGCGGUUUUGGAUGGACUCGCGGCUUAUCAGCUUGUUGGUGGGGUAGUGGCUUACCAAGGCUUUGACGGGUAGCCGGCCUGAGAGGGCGACCGGCCACAUUGGGACUGGGAUACGGCCCAGACUCCUACCGGAGGCAGCAGUGGGGAAUAUUGCACAAUGGGCGGAAGCCUGAUGCAGCAACGCCGCGUGCGGGAUGACGGCCUUCGGGUUGUAAACCGCUUUCAGCAGGGGCGAAGCUUGUGGUGACGGUACCUGCAGAAGAAGCACCGGCUAACUACGUG
rnacentral:rRNA from 1 species